UACGGGGAGAGCAAGCGUUGUUCGGAUUUACUGGGCGUAAAGGGCGCGUAGGCGGUCGUGACAAGUCACUUGUGAAAUCUCCGGGCUUAACUCGGAACGGUCAAGUGAUACUGUCGGACUAGAGUACAGAAGGGGCAACUGGAAUUCUCGGUGUAGCGGUGAAAUGCGUAGAUAUCGAGAGGAACACCUGGCGGCGAAGGCGGGUUGCUGGGCUGACACUGACGCUGGAGGCGACGGAAAGCUAGGGGAGCAAACGGG
rnacentral:rRNA from 1 species